rnacentral:rRNA from 1 species
UACAGAGGGGGCAAGCGUUGUUCGGAAUUACUGGGCGUAAAGGGCGCGUAGGCGGCCUGUUAAGUCGAACGUGAAAUCCCCGGGCUCAACCCGGGAACUGCGUCCGAUACUGGCAGGCUUGAAUUCGGGAGAGGGAUGCGGAAUUCCAGGUGUAGCGGUGAAAUGCGUAGAUAUCUGGAGGAACACCGGUGGCGAAGGCGGCAUCCUGGACCGAGAUUGACGCUGAGGCGCGAAAGCUAGGGUAGCAAACGGG